AGGGUUGAAAUGGAGUCUAGUUUUCAUAUGCACAAUAGAAUUUCCUCUUUGAAUUCUUGGAUUAACAGUAUAGUUAUUUCCUCUUUCUGUAAACUCUGUACCAUCAUCAUCCAUUUAUGCUUAAACUGAAUGUGUUCCAACAGUUCUGUUCAGCAGCACAGGCAGAAAAUAUAACUAUAGAGUCAGGGUCAAUUUCUUUCAGACAUUAUUGCCACAACAGCAUUUUUUUCCCCCCCGAAACUAGGAGCCAACUGGUGAGCCCUCUCCUAAGAGACCCAGGGGAAGACCCAAAGGCAGCAAAAACAAGAGUCCCUCCAAAGCAGCUCAGAAGAAAGCAGAAGCCACUGGAGAAAAACGGCCAAGAGGCAGACCUAGGAAAUGGCCACAACAAGUCGUUCAGAAGAAGCCUGCUCAGGAGGAGACUGAAGAGACAUCCUCACAAGAGUCUGCGGAAGAGGAUUAGGGAGCGCCAACAUUCAAUUUCUACCUCAGCAGCAGUUGAAUCUUUUGAAGGGAGAAGACACUGCAGUGACCACUUACUCUCUAUCGCCAUGGUCUUUCCACUUUCAUUGGGGUUUGAGGGGAGGGGUGGGGUGGGGGAGGGGUGGGGGUGGGGCGGGAGAAGUCACGUAACCUUAAAAAGGACUAUAUUAAUCACCUUCUUUGUAAUCCCUUCACAGUCCCAGGUUUAGUGAAAAACUGCUGUAAACACAGGGGACACAGUUUAACAAUGCAACUUUUAAUUACUGUUUUCUUUUUCCUUAACCUACUAAUAGUUUGUGGAUCUGAUAAGCCGGAGUGGGUGGGUGAGAAAAACUCUGAAUCGGGUUUAGUCAAUCACUGCACUGCAUCCAAACCAGAAACAUGUCACCCGCGUGUGUGACGUUGGGCAUUUCUCUAGGAAAGGCGGGUGUGGAACGCUGUCUGCCCCGCCACCCCCCACCCCCCACCCGCUCCAGUAGCGCAGCUUCUGUUUAGAACACCAAAGAUAGGACUAGAUACUACUCCUCUCUUUUUCGUAUAAUCUUCUAGACACUUACUUGAUGAUUUUUUUUUAACUUGUAUUUCUAAAUGAGACGAAAUGCUGAUGUAUCCUUUCAUCCAGCUAACAAACCAGAAAAGGUGAUGUUCACUUUUCGAAAAGGGAAGGAAGCAAACUGAGAUUGCCAACUCCUUUAUUUAUGGAUGCCACACAUAUCAGCAGGAGUAAUAAAUUUACUCACGGCCCUCUUUUUCUUCUUCUUCUUCUUCUUCUCUCUCUCUUUUUUUUUUUUUUUCUUCCAGGAACACUCAUCUGGGUAGAAUCUACUUCCUACAGAGCCAAAUGCCAUUUAGCAAUAAAUCAUACUUGUCAGCCUCAAUGCAUUUUAAGGAACCUAGACAAGUAAAAUUAUCCUCUUUGUGAUUUAAUGAAAAAGUCCAACAGGAUAAUGCAUGAUGAACUCACCUGGAUUAUGAGGUGGGAGGAGCGAAAUCUAAAUUUCUUUUGCUAGAGAUAUACUACAGUUUAAAGAACCACCACAACAAAAACACAGGCUCUCUGUCUCUCUCUGUCUCUCUCUCUCUCCAUUGUGUAUCAGUUUCCGUGAAAGACCUAAAUACCACUUACCUCAAAUGAAGCUUAUGUGUUACUUCAAGUAAUACAUUUUGACAUAGGGUGGUUGGCUGAGGUGUUUGACUUUGACUUCAGCUCACCAUCUCUUCAUUCAAACUGCACUUUUAGCCAGAGAUGCAAUACAUCCCCACUGCUCAAUACUACCUCUGAAUAUUACAAUGAAUUUACAGUUUAGUACUUUUUACAUGCUGCUAUACACAAGCAAUGCAAGAAAAAACACAUGAUGGGUAGGCGACGCUGCUCGCCUGCGGUCCUUUUUGUACACUUAAUUACAGUGAAAGAAGCAGUCUCCUUACUGUGUUUCAGCAUGGCUAGGUAUUUUUCUAUGGUUUUUUUUAUUAUUAUUAAAAUUUUACAAAUACUUGUUUCAGCUUCUCUGCUAGAUUUUCUACAUUAACUUGAAUGUUUUUUGUUAACCGAGUCGCUCCUAGGUUCUUAAGGAUCAUUGUCCUCCAUCACACUACACAUCACACAAAAUUUGACUGUUAUGUUUAAAUGUUACCCUCCCAAGUUUGUACCUCACAUGACUUGUUUAAGGAAAUGGACUAAUUGACUUGCAAAGACCUACCUCCAGACUUCAAAAGGAAUGAACUUGUUUCUCGCAGCCUUCAUUUUUGUCAAUGUUUGAAAUAGUUCAGACUGCAGCUAGCCCGCAUCAAAACUAUUUUUGUAAAAGGCUUUUGAUAGAAAGGAACAUGUUUUUACAUACUUUUUGCAAAUGAAUAAAGAACAUAAAGCCAACCUUCAAAGAAACUUGAAGCUUUGUAGGUGAGAUGCAACAAGCUCGGCUUUUGCAUGAUGCAAUCAAAAAUGUGUGUUUUGAAGAUUAGUUGAAUAUGAGAAAAUGCUUGACAAAUAUUUUCAUGUACUUUACACAAAUGUGAUUUUUGUAAUAUGUCUCAACCAGAUUUAUUUUAAACGCUUCUUAUGUAGAGUUUUUAUUCCUUUCUCUCCUAGUGAGUGUGCUGACUUUUUAACAUGGUAUUAUCAACUGGGCCAAGAGGUAGCUUCUCAUGACCGCUUGUGUCAGUCUGGCUUGUAGUUCUGAUGCCAAAUGAAACUCAAAACCAUCUCUCUUCCAGCCGCUUCAGGGAGGUAGUUUCAAAGGCCACAUGCCUCUCUGAGACUGGCAGAUCGCUCACUGUUAUGAAUCACCAAAGGAGCUAUGGAGAGAAUUAAAACUCAACCUUACUGUUAACUGUGCAUUAAAUAAGCAAACAAACAGUGCCUCAUAAAAAUGAAAGUCCCAUUCCAUAGCUUGGCUUGGGCACUUUUGAAACCUCACUGGCCAGCUCAUAAAACUGCAGCAGUUGCUCUUGUUGGCCAAACUCGGAGCACCCAGCAGUUUCCAUCUCUGAUGAAGUUACUCUUUUGUUUCCUAUACGUUGUACAAUCAAAACACACUACUACCUCUUAAGCCCCAGUAUACCUCAUUUUUCAUACUGAAAAAAAAAAGCUUGUGGCCAAUGGAACAGUAAGAACAUCAUAAAAUUUUUAUAUAUAUAGUUUAUUUUUGUGGGAGAUAAAUUUUAUAGGACUGUUCUUUGCUGUUGUUGGUCUCGGCUAAGUAAGACUGGACAUUUAACUUUUCUACCAUUUCUGCAAGUUAGGUAUGUUUGCAGGAGAAAAGUAUCAAGACGUUUAACUGCAGUUGACUUUCCCCCUGUUUUCUUUGAGUGUCUUCUAACUUUGUUCUUCAUGUAGAGUUGCUGUCUAUGAUUGUACUUUGAACCGCUUGCUUGUUGAAAAUAUUUCUCUAGUGGAUUAUCACUGUCUGUUCUGCACAAUAAACAUAACAGCCUCUGUGAUC